AUUGAACGUUGGCGGCAGGCCUAACACAUGCAAGUCGAGCGGCAGCGGGAAAGUAGCUUGCUACUUUUGCCGGCGAGCGGCGGACGGGUGAGUAAUGCCUGGGAAAUUGCCCAGUCGAGGGGGAUAACAGUUGGAAACGACUGCUAAUACCGCAUACGCCCUACGGGGGACAGCAGGGGACCUUCGGGCCUUGCUCGAUUGGAUAUGCCCAGGUGGGAUUAGCUAGUUGGUGAGGUAAUGGCUCACCAAGGCGACGAUCCCUAGCUGGUCUGAGAGGAUGAUCAGCCACACUGGAACUGAGACACGGUCCAGACUCCUACGGGAGGCAGCAGUGGGGAAUAUUGCACAAUGGGGGAAACCCUGAUGCAGCCAUGCCGCGUGUGUGAAGAAGGCCUUCGGGUUGUAAAGCACUUUCAGCGAGGAGGAAAGGUUGAUGCCUAAUACGUAUCAACUGUGACGUUACUCGCAGAAGAAGCACCGGCUAACUCCGUGCCAGCAGCCGCCGUAA
rnacentral:rRNA from 1 species